rnacentral:lncRNA from 1 species
ACUUGUGAUCUCAUCCGUCCAUAUCAGCUUCUGUUUACUUCUUAGUAUUGGGUUUGAAAUUAAUCUCACAAACUAAGCUCAACUUUCAUGGCGAAAGUCCCAUUAAACCUCCCAAACUCAACAUCCCAUCCAAAAACAGAAUAAAAAACGAACUUAUUGAACGUGUUUACCGGUGCCAUUAGACAAAUGAGAAUUCCAGGUCCAAAAUGCAUGGAAUGAAAGGAUUGGAUGACGGUG